rnacentral:lncRNA from 1 species
GAGUUUUUCUGCACUGCCUGCUCAGCACCAGAGAAACCGGAGGACCCUUGGCUGUGCCCACAGCGGGAAAAGCCCAGGCUCCAGGUCCAGGACUACCCACUUCCCUUGGAAUGGUGUUGCCAUCACUGUUCUGGCACCGGAGAAAGGAUUCUACAUCGUUAGGAGAAAAGAAAAAGGAGAAUUUGGGCUUGCACUGAGAGGAUUACCUUUGGUGGUCUGGAAGUGGUGG